rnacentral:rRNA from 1 species
AAAUUUAAUACAACUUUCAACAACGGAUCUCUUGGCUCUCGCAUCGAUGAAGAACGCAGCGAAAUGCGAUAAGUAAUGUGAAUUGCAGAAUUCAGUGAAUCAUCGAAUCUUUGAACGCACCUUGCGCUCCUUGGUAUUCCGAGGAGCAUGCCUGUUUGAGUGUCAUGAA